AGAGUUUGAUCCUGGCUCAGGAUGAACGCUGGCGGCGUGCCUAAUACAUGCAAGUCGAGCGAACGGAUGAGAAGCUUGCUUCUCUGAUGUUAGCGGCGGACGGGUGAGUAACACGUGGAUAACCUACCUAUAAGACUGGGAUAACUUCGGGAAACCGGAGCUAAUACCGGAUAAUAUUUUGAACCGCAUGGUUCAAAAGUGAAAGACGGUCUUGCUGUCACUUAUAGAUGGAUCCGCGCUGCAUUAGCUAGUUGGUAAGGUAACGGCUUACCAAGGCAACGAUGCAUAGCCGACCUGAGAGGGUGAUCGGCCACACUGGAACUGAGACACGGUCCAGACUCCUACGGGAGGCAGCAGUAGGGAAUCUUCCGCAAUGGGCGAAAGCCUGACGGAGCAACGCCGCGUGAGUGAUGAAGGUCUUCGGAUCGUAAAACUCUGUUAUUAGGGAAGAACAUAUGUGUAAGUAACUGUGCACAUCUUGACGGUACCUAAUCAGAAAGCCACGGCUAACUACGUGCCAGCAGCCGCGGUAAUACGUAGGUGGCAAGCGUUAUCCGGAAUUAUUGGGCGUAAAGCGCGCGUAGGCGGUUUUUUAAGUCUGAUGUGAAAGCCCACGGCUCAACCGUGGAGGGUCAUUGGAAACUGGAAAACUUGAGUGCAGAAGAGGAAAGUGGAAUUCCAUGUGUAGCGGUGAAAUGCGCAGAGAUAUGGAGGAACACCAGUGGCGAAGGCGACUUUCUGGUCUGUAACUGACGCUGAUGUGCGAAAGCGUGGGGAUCAAACAGGAUUAGAUACCCUGGUAGUCCACGCCGUAAACGAUGAGUGCUAAGUGUUAGGGGGUUUCCGCCCCUUAGUGCUGCAGCUAACGCAUUAAGCACUCCGCCUGGGGAGUACGACCGCAAGGUUGAAACUCAAAGGAAUUGACGGGGACCCGCACAAGCGGUGGAGCAUGUGGUUUAAUUCGAAGCAACGCGAAGAACCUUACCAAAUCUUGACAUCCUUUGACAA
rnacentral:rRNA from 1 species